rnacentral:rRNA from 2 species
AUAUCAAUAAGCGGAGGAAAAGAAACCAACCGGGAUUGCCUCAGUAACGGCGAGUGAAGCGGCAAGAGCUCAAAUUUGAAAUCUGGCCCCCUUGGGGGUCCGAGUUGUAAUUUGCAGAGGAUGCUUCGGGUGCGGUCCCCGUCUAAGUGCCCUGGAACGGGCCGUCAUAGAGGGUGAGAAUCCCGUCUGGGAUGGGCGGCCGCGCCCGUGUGAAGCUCCUUCGACGAGUCGAGUUGUUUGGGAAUGCAGCUCUAAGUGGGUGGUAAAUUUCAUCUAAAGCUAAAUACUGGCCGGAGACCGAUAGCGCACAAGUAGAGUGAUCGAAAGAUGAAAAGCACUUUGAAAAGAGAGUUAAACAGCACGUGAAAUUGUUGAAAGGGAAGCGUUGUCCACCAGACUCGCCCGGGGGGGCUCAGCCGGCACUUGUGCCGGUGUACUCCUCCCCGGGCGGGCCAGCAUCGGUUUGGGCGGCUGGUGAAAGGCCCCGGGAAUGUAACACCCUCCGGGGUGCCUUAUAGCCCGGGGUGUCAUGCGGCCAGCCUGGACCGAGGCCCGCGCUUCGGCGAGGAUGCUGGCGUAAUGGUGGUCAACGGCCCGUCUUGAAACACGGACC